rnacentral:rRNA from 1 species
GACGAACGCUGGCGGCGUGCCUAAUACAUGCAAGUAGGACGCAGUUGCGAACGGGUGAGUAACGCGUAGGUAACUACCUAUUAGAGGGGGAUAACUAUUGGAAACGAUAGCUAAUACCGCAUACUAGUAGAUGGACCUGCGUUGUAUUAGCUAGUAGGUAGGGUAAUGGCCUACCUAGGCAACGAUACAUAGCCGACCUGGGAGGGAGAUCGGCCACACCUGGACUUGGACCAGGCCCAGACCCCUUCGGGAGGGAGCAGUAGGGGAACUUCGGCAAUGGGGGGAACCCUGACCGAGCAACGCCGCGUUAGUGAAGAAGGUUUUCGGAUCGUAAAGCUCUGUUGUUAAGGAAGCGGUACUUAACCAGAAAGGGACGGCUAACUACGUGCCAGCAGCCGCGGUAAUUC